rnacentral:rRNA from 1 species
CCUACGGGAGGCAGCAGUGAGGAAUAUUGGUCAAUGGACGAGAGUCUGAACCAGCCAAGUAGCGUGAAGGAUGACUGCCCUAUGGGUUGUAAACUUCUUUUAUAUGGGAAUAAAAUGUUCCAUGUGUGGGAUUUUGUAUGUACCAUAUGAAUAAGGAUCGGCUAACUCCGUGCCAGCAGCCGCGGUAAUACGGAGGAUCCGAGCGUUAUCCGGAUUUAUUGGGGUUAAAGGGAGCGUAGGUGGAUUGUUAAGUCAGUUGUGAAAGUUUGCGGCUCAACCGUAAAAUUGCAGUUGAAACUGGCAGUCUUGAGGACAGUAGAGGUGGGCGGAAUUCGUGGUGUAGCGGUGAAAUGCUGAGAUAUCACGAAGAACUCCGAUUGCGAAGGCAGUUCACUGGACUGCAACUGACACUGAGGCUCGAAAGUGUGGGUAUCAAACAGGAUUAGAUACCCUUGUAGUC